UGGUGAGUACGCGGUACGGUACUCCCUUAAGUCUGGGAUACCAUUUGGAAACAGAUGCUAAUACCGGAUAAAAGCUACUUUCGCAUGAAAGAAGUUUAAAAGGCGGCGUAAGCUGUCGCUAAAGGAUGGACCUGCGAUGCAUUAGCUAGUUGGUAAGGUAACGGCUUACCAAGGCGAUGAUGCAUAGCCGAGUUGAGAGACUGAUCGGCCACAUUGGGACUGAGACACGGCCCAAACUCCUACGGGAGGCAGCAGCC
rnacentral:rRNA from 1 species